rnacentral:rRNA from 1 species
UCCAGACUCCUACGGGAGGCAGCAGUGGGGAAUAUUGCACAAUGGGCGAAAGCCUGAUGCAGCGACGCCGCGUGAGUGAAGAAGUAUUUCGGUAUGUAAAGCUCUAUCAGCAGGGAAGAAAAUGACGGUACCUGACUAAGAAGCCCCGGCUAACUACGUGCCAGCAGCCGCGGUAAUACGUAGGAUGCGAGCGUUAUCCGGAUUUAUUGGGUUUAAAGGGUGCGCAGGCGGUCUGUUAAGUCAGCGGUCAAAGCCCGGGGCUCAACCCCGGUCCGCCGUUGAAACUGGCAGUCUCGAGUUGGAGAGAAGUAUGCGGAAUGCGCGGUGUAGCGGUGAAAUGCAUAGAUAUCGCGCAGAACUCCGAUUGCGAAGGCAGCAUGCCGGCUCCACACUGACGCUGAGGCACGAAAGCGUGGGUAUCGAACAGGAUUAGAUACCCGAGUA